GACAGAGAGGCGGGGUAUAAAUACAAUGCAUCAUCAUCAUCAUCAUCAUCAUCAUCAUCAUCAUCAUCAUCAUCAUCAUCCUGGGCCUGGAUUGGAGAGUCCUUCAAACAAGAGUACUUCUAAUGGCCCUUCAGAUUUUUUGAAAACCCUGCUGUUACUGAAAUUAUACUUAAGAGAUGGUUGCUUGGACAUGUUGUGGUGUUUGACUACUUCAUAGCAGAAAGCCUGAGAAUUUGCUUGAGAGCCAAUCAUAUGUCUUUUCACAUCACACUUUCUCUCCAAGAAGGCCACUGAGUCCAUCUAGAGUACCUGCAACCAACAGUGAAUACACCUGUACAGAAAUUGCAAAGUAUUUAUUACAUAGUUAUAAAACUACAACCCACCACACAAUGUAUUAUAAAACAAAAUAUUCCUGUAUGGGAUGUUUAAAAUAUUUUGUGAUCAUGCCAGAUUAUACAUUGUACUGAAAGCAAAACAUGAAAUUACCUGGGGCCCUUAACUGUAAUGAAUAACUUAUAAUACAGAAAGAACAGAACCAACCAAAACUUGAAUAAAUGAAUUGGCUAUUUUGCAGUGAUCCCUGCUUGAAGCUCAGGGAAUGGGAGUAAAUGUAAAAACAUGGGAAAACUCAUGGUGAGUCAGACUAAAGCCCUCUUUGGUCCAACAUUCUGUUCAUUAGUGGCCAGUCAGUAGAAGCAUAUCAGUAGGAUACUAAUGCAGCUGUGGUUUCCAUCUUGCAUCCCAUAGCAAUUGAUAUACCAAGCCAGACUGCCUCUGAAACUGAGCAAGGAAGGAAGGAAGAAGGAAGGAAGGAAGAUAUGAAUUUCCCCUACAGAUGUCACACACCUGUACUCCAAAACCAAACUACUUUUAGCAACUCUUAUUUAGGAUUCUCACCCUUGCUGAAGAGAAAAGGAAAUUCAGUGGUUUGGCAGGAAAAGUAAAUCCUUUAGGCUAGGAUUACAUAUAGGAACAGCACAGAUUGUAUCAUUUUCAGUUGAAAAGAAGGGAGUGGCAAAUUGUUUUUCCUGGAUCAGAGUGAAAGAAGGAAAGGCGUGGGUGGUAGAAAUAUAAAACUACUUUUUUUUUUUUUUGCAUUAGUUAAGGUUAAUACAGAAGCUCUGCUCCUUGUUACUGAACUAAAUUCAAUUAUUCAGUGUUGGAAAAAUUGCAGUGUUUUCUCUCAGUAGUCAAUCAAAAGAAAAGAUGAGCAAUUAGCCACCAAGCAAGCAAUUUGAUAAACUGAUCUGAGAUAUCAGCAACGUCCUCAAAGAAAAAUCAUUUUUACGUUUAACAAAAAUUGUUCAGAAACCUUAUGUUUUGUUAAAUUGCAACACUAAGCAAACAAACCAUUACCCAUCUCUAUUAAGGGAAAUUUGUUUAUGCAAGCAGAAAUUCAGAUAAAUUCUACUCACAGGGCUGCCAUAUUCUAGUUUUCUACCAAUUGAGGUAGCAACAUUUUCAUAUUUGCAUUUCAUAUUGAGCAUAUAAGUAUUUCCCACUCAUAUGAAAAUUAUGGAUAAUGAAAGAGAUGAAUAGUGCUCACUACAAUAUUACAAUACCCCCCAAAAUCAGAUUCACUCCUUUCAAAUGAAAUAUGAAACAGAAGGUUGCAGGCAGGUUUAUGUUCCUCCCCUCCAUAUAAUGCAGAGGAACACAAGCUUUGUCCCAAGGUGUUUUGCAAACUUGAUUGCCCCUUUCCUUCAUCAUUUGUAUACAGGAAAAGAAAUCCCUCCCAAACAUUUGAAUGAAGUUAUUUACUAUAAGAGCUGUUUGACAGUGGAAUAGACUGCCUUAGAGGAUGGUCUCUCUUUCUUUGGAAGUUUUUAAAUAGAAAUUGGAUGGAGUGCUUUAGUUGUAUUCUUGUUUGGCAGAAGGUUGGACUAGGUAGCCAUUGUGGCUCCUUCCAACCCUAAGAUUCUACAACUCUGUGAUGAUUUUGACCACCUUUUCUCCUCACAGGAUGAAGGUAUUUCUCAGGGAUAACUUUUUCAGGAAGAGGGUUUCUCUUGCUGAAAAUUACAUUACGUAAUCCGUUACUAACUGUAUGCUGGUGGUAGGCAGGGAUGAAUGUUGUGGUUGAUAAAAGGAGACCAAAAGUAGGAGGAACAAAACCUUUUUCUCUCUUUCCGACAUCUCUGUCUCUCCCCUUUCCUUUCCCUCAUUCCCUGGUGUCUACUAGGGGAGGGCUUGAUUCUGCUUGUCAGACAUCUGUUUUGAAUUUGUCAGAGGUCCACACUCAGGGUGAUGUAGUGAUUUGAGCACUGAACUAGGACUUUGAAGACCAGGGUUCAAAUCCUCAGCUACAUAAACCCACUGGGCAAUCUUGGGCAAGUCACACUCUCUCAGCCUGAGAGGAUGGCAAUGACAACCCCUUCUGAAGAAGUCGAAGGCUUUCAUGGCCGGCAUUCAUAGUUUUUUUGUGGGGUUUUUGGGCUAUGUGUAGUUUUAUGUUUCUACCACCCACGCCUUUUCUUCUUUUACUCUCAUCCAGGAGAAACAAUUUGCCACUCCCUUCUUUUCUAGAAACUCUGCUAGAACAUGGCCACAUAGCCCAAAAAACUCACAAAAAAACCUUCUGAAAAAACUUGCCAAGAAAACCCCAUGACCCUUAGAGUCACCAUAAGUCAGAAAUGAUUUGAAGGAACACAACAACAACCAAGGUCAUGUAAUGUAAUUUAACUCUCUCCAUAUUUUUAAGGCAGUUUUCUAACUCAUUUGAGACACAGCAAAAAUAAUCUUCAAAAAUAAAGGCUUUUGGUGCUUGCACUA